rnacentral:rRNA from 1 species
CGUACACUCCUACGGGAGGCAGCAGUGGGGAAUAUUGGACAAUGGGCGCAAGCCUGAUCCAGCCAUGCCGCGUGAGUGAUGAAGGCCCUAGGGUUGUAAAGCUCUUUCACCGGUGAAGAUAAUGACGGUAACCGGAGAAGAAGCCCCGGCUAACUUCGUGCCAGCAGCCGCGGUAAUACGAAGGGGGCUAGCGUUGUUCGGAUUUACUGGGCGUAAAGCGCACGUAGGCGGACUAUUAAGUCAGGGGUGAAAUCCCGGGGCUCAACCCCGGAACUGCCUUUGAUACUGGUAGUCUUGAGUUCGAGAGAGGUGAGUGGAAUUCCGAGUGUAGAGGUGAAAUUCGUAGAUAUUCGGAGGAACACCAGUGGCGAAGGCGGCUCACUGGCUCGAUACUGACGCUGAGGUGCGAAAGCGUGGGGAGCAAACAGGAUUAGAAACCCUGGUAGUCCCAUG